rnacentral:rRNA from 1 species
AGUAAUGCUUGGGAAUCUAGCUUAUGGAGGGGGAUAACUAUGGGAAACUGUAGCUAAUACCGCGUAGAAUCGGGAGAUGAAAGUGUGGGACCUUCGGGCCACAUGCCAUAGGAUGAGCCCAAGUGGGAUUAGGUAGUUGGUGAGGUAAAGGCUCACCAAGCCGACGAUCUCUAGCUGGUCUGAGAGGAUGACCAGCCACACUGGAACUGAGACACGGUCCAG